rnacentral:rRNA from 1 species
CCUACGGGAGGCAGCAGUGAGGAAUAUUGGUCAAUGGACGCAAGGCUGAACCAGCCAAGUCGCGUGAAGGAAGACGGAUCUAUGGUUUGUAAACCUCUUUUACAGGGGAAUAAAGGUAUCCACGUGUGGAUAUUUGCAUGUACCCUAUGAAUAAGCAUCGGCUAACUCCGUGCCAGCAGCCGCGGUAAUCCGGAGGAUGCGAGCGUUAUCCGGAUUUAUUGGGGUUAAAGGGUUCGUAGGUUGGUUUUUAAGUCAGCGGUGAAAGUUUGUGGCUCAACCAUAAUAUUGCCGUUGAAACUGGCAGUCUUGAGUGGGUUUGAGGUAGGCGGAAUGCGUGGUGUAGCGGUGAAAUGCAUAGAUAUCACGCAGAACUCCGAUUGCGAAGGCAGCUUACU